rnacentral:rRNA from 1 species
UGACUUGUGGCUGGGGGUGAAAGGCCAAUCAAACCGGGAGAUAGCUGGUUCUCCCCGAAAGCUAUUUAGGUAGCGCCUCGUGAAUUCAUCUCCGGGGGUAGAGCACUGUUUCGGCAAGGGGGUCAUCCCGACUUACCAACCCGAUGCAAACUGCGAAUACCGGAGAAUGUUAUCACGGGAGACACACGGCGGGUGCUAACGUCCGUCGUGAAGAGGGAAACAACCCAGACCGCCAGCUAAGGUCCCAAAGUCAUGGUUAAGUGGGAAACGAUGUGGGAAGGCCCAGACAGCCAGGAUGUUGGCUUAGAAGCAGCCAUCAUUUAAAGAAAGCGUAAUAGCUCACUGGUCGAGUCGGCCUGCGCGGAAGAUGUAACGGGGCUAAACCAUGCACCGAAGCUGCGGCAGCGACGCUUAUGCGUUGUUGGGUAGGGGAGCGUUCUGUAAGCCUGUGAAGGUGUGCUGUGAGGCAUGCUGGAGGUAUCAGAAGUGCGAAUGCUGACAUAAGUAACGAUAAAGCGGGUGAAAAGCCCGCUCGCCGGAAGACCAAGGGUUCCUGUCCAACGUUAAUCGGGGCAGGGUGAGUCGACCCCUAAGGCGAGGCCGAAAGGCGUAGUCGAUGGGAAACAGGUUAAUAUUCCUGUACUUGGUGUUACUGCGAAGGGGGGACG